rnacentral:rRNA from 1 species
CCUACGGGAGGCAGCAGUGGGGAAUCUUGGACAAUGGACCAAAGCCUUAUCCAAGGCCACCCCGCGUUAAUUAAGAAGGCCUUCGGGUUGUAAAGCCCUUUUGGUUGGGAAGGAAAAAUGCUCGAGCUYCCACCUCAGGGUCCGGACGAAUCCCUGCCAACAAGCACCGGCUUACUCUGUGCCAGCGCCGCGGUAAU